UGCAGGCAAAGGGACAGACUGUGUUUGGAGUCAAGGCCUUAGGAGGCAUCCUGCAUUUCUGCUCAUGGUUCUGGACUCCUGUGAUCUGGGUCAGAAGAAUAAGUAGUCCUAAGAAGAACAAAUGAGGGACAUACAGAGCAGGCCUGAACCAACUCAAAGUCCAAAGCCAAGCCGAGAUGACAAGCACUUAGAGCAGAGCUGCUUCUGCUGACCCACAGGCCUGUACUCAGGAGGAAUAGACACCUUCUCUAAGCCACUGAGUCGGAGGGGUUUGUUGGGUAGGUUAUAUGGUAGUAAGUGUCUCAGGCCGAGUUCUCCAGGAAGCAGACUCUGACACAGAAUUGUGUGCAGGAGGUUUGUUACAGAAGGUCCAUGGAACCUAUACCUGUGGAAGGCAGGGAAAGCAAGCUGGACUCAGCAGAGGGGGAAGCUGAGCUGAGCUGGGCACAGUCCCAGUGAAGGUUCAGCUCUGGGCUGUCCCAGGUUGGGGUGAGGGGUUUUAAUACCUCUGAGUUGACCAGAUGUCUCAUUCAGUUGCUCUAGGAAGGAGUAUGACCUUGGGCCAAGCACUGUCCUUGAGUGGAAGCACUUCCCUGAGAAAGUUACUGACAGUGCUCUGUGCAUCUGGAGGAAUAAGUCCUUCAUUCCCAAAAGGGGAUCUGGGCAGUACACCCAGAGUCCUCGACUAUAACUGACUGAUAUGAUGGUGUCCAUCAGAUUUCAGGACUGCUUCCCCACGUCUUUACUGCUACGGAUCAAAGAUUUCAAAUACAUUUGAUUAUUCCUAAAAUACCAUUGAGGUAACAGACCUGCUACCAUCUAAUAAGUUGCAAAGAAAAACAUCACUAAUGUUGGCUUACAAGCUCAGUUUUACAAUGCUUGCUGCCUGGGGCGUGACCUGCACAAAGCAGACAGCAAAGGGUUUUAGCACUUGUGACUUAUUCCAUGUGAAUAUGUCCUUCCUGGAGCCACUGAGAUGGCUCUCCUUAUGAAGAUGCAGUACACACCCUGCUUCCCCUGGAAACCCAAAAACAGUGACAUGAGCCCUGACCUGUCCUGUUCCACUCAGCUGAUGAGGCUUAUAGAGAGGUGAGACUUAAGGGUCCCUUCACAGCUCAACAGUUGUGGGAGAAACAGCUCUAUCCGACCUCCACAGAACAGAACAAAGCUACACCAGAGGGAAUGAGCUCCUUGAACUCCUCACCCAUGGCAUCCCAUAAGCAGUUGACCUUGGGUACCUGGGAGCAUUGAGUCACUCCCCAAGGUCACCCAGUGACUCACUGGCAUAUUGUUAGCAUCAUCUACCAUUCCUUUCCUUCUUAGAAGAAAAGCUGGAAUGGAAAGGAUAUGUCAAGGAGAUAUUAGAGCCGCAUUGGGGAAAGCUGUAUUAGAAAACUCUGCUGUCUUUUUUUUUUUUUUUCCUGCUGGCUUUAAAUAACCAAGGCAUAAGAAACCAAGCUCAUAAAUUAACAUUGCAGUUUGUGUAUAGAUUCCCAUGAGGGGUAUUUUGCAAGUCACCCAGCCUUCUCCUUCGGUUCCUCCGGGUGGCGCUGCAUACUGACAUCUGACAACUGAGGGCGCAGACGCUCCAGGUGAACAGUGCAGUUAGAUCUAGGAGUACAGGGUCAGGUUACUUGCUCUGAACUUAACCUCUGCACACCAUCUUCAGAAGUAAAGAACUAAAGCAACCAUCAAGACAUUGGACGGGACUCCUCGCCUUGGUGGCUGACCACAGACCCUAAAGGCUAAUUCAACUUCGAGGACUGACAGUGUACAACUAGCAAAUACACAAGCCAGGGGCAUCUUCCAGCUGAAACCAGAGCCGGAGGCAUCUGGAUCGCUUUGCCAGAAUGAGGCAGAGAGGGAUGGUCAAGGUAAAGCUGGAAGAAUCCAUCCUUCCUUUCCAGGACAGGGCUGGGCAGCCUGCCAACGUAGACUUCUCUAAGAAACACCUGGGAACCAGGAGGCUGGAGAGGCCUGGGACCUGAUCACGCAGCCCGUCCAAAUGUGAACUAACUGUUACCAUUUCAAAACUGCUGCUUCAGACAGAUUCCAGGGGAUGGGCUUCCUCCACCCUGGAGGAUCUGCAGGUGGUGCAUAGAGCAUGCUCCAGAGGCCCAGAGGCCCCAGCUGCCCAAGGACAGCUCAGGCAGUGGGUACUGUGCAUGGGUAGGCCAUGCAGGUCAGGAAAGCUAGGGAGCUAGAACAGGGCAAGUGUAGGGAGAGGCUAGGUCAUGGUGGUGAGAUCUCGGGGAUGUAAGGCAUCUGCUUCAUUCUAAGACCUAACAAACACACAUGCACACACUCCCUCUGAAGAGAGAGCUAGAAGAUACUUCUUCCUGUCACAGAAGACCCAGGCUGACUGGGUGGGGUAUCCGUCAUCGAAUAGGAGAUAUCUCACAGUCCUUGUUGUAGGAUCCCUUCAGAAAACAAGUCCCAAGCAAGACAGAUGAUGGCCAGUUAACAACUUCUGCUCCAGGGUGAUUUGGGGGGCUGGGCCUCCUCCAUGCUAGAGUCUAUAUAGGUGUUUGGGCCCCAGCUCCACAGCCUGGAGGGUUCCAGCUGCCUCAGGCUGGCUGUGGGGGUCCAAACUCCGUGUACUCAGAAAUUACAGUUUAAGGUAGCCAGAAACCCGGAAAAGGGCAUGGAUCCAGGGAGGAUGUUGUAGACACAAGGCAUCUGCCUCAAUCCAAGUCCUAACCUAUGUAGAUUCACGCAUUCCCUUUGAAAACAGGGCUGGAUGAUACUGGGCUGCCUCACCAGGGCAGGGCCAAGAGGACUGGCUGGGGCAUCUAUCAUCCAACAAGACACCUGGCAUGCAUGUGUAGUGCAGUUCAGGGUUGCCAGACCUAGAACGAGACGUUUGGUCUCUAGAGCCUGGGUCAGAGGAAUCCCUCUUGGGGAUGUCAACCUUAAAAAAGAAAUCACUUAUUUUACCAGCAAAUGAGUUUAUUUGGGGAUAGCAGAGGAAUUGAAACUCAAGACAAACAAGCUAUGGCAAACCAUAGGCGAGUGGAAAAGACCAAGAGAAGGUCAGCUUUUAUUAUAUUUUAGGAGGAUAGUGGGGAGGAUUGUUUUGAACAAAAGUUCACUGGAGAACAACUACAGUUUAAAGAUAUGGCGAUAUCUCAUUGGCCGCAAGAUGGUUAGUGCAUUUUUGUUGGGGCAGGGAGAGAUCUUGUUUUUCUUAAAAGCAAAAGAUAAAUUCCUAUGAGACUAGUGUCCUCUUUUGUCAAUGUAAGAAUUAUCUUCCUUCGGGGGUCCCUGGUUUAGCUCAUUGGUUUAGCCCCUGCCUUCUGCCCAGGGCUUGAUCCUGGCAUCCCAGGAUUGAGUCCCACGUCGGACUCCUGCAUUAAGCCUGCUUCUCUC